UACGUAGGGGGCAAGCGUUGUCCGGAAUUAUUGGGCGUAAAGAGCGUGUAGGCGGCCAGAUAAGUCCGCUGUGAAAUCUCGAGGCUCAACUUCGAGCUGUCGGUGGAAACUGUCUGGCUAGAGUCCGGAAGAGGAGAAUGGAAUUCCUGGUGUAGCGGUGAAAUGCGCAGAUAUCAGGAAGAACACCCGUGGCGAAGGCGACUUUCUGGUCUGUAACUGACGCUGAUGUGCGAAAGCGUGGGUAUCAAACAGG
rnacentral:rRNA from 1 species